rnacentral:rRNA from 1 species
UACGUAGGGUGCAAGCGUGUCCGGAAUUAUUGGGCGUAAAGAGCUCGUAGGCGGUUUGUUGCGUCGGCUGUGAAAUCCCGAGGCUCGAACCUCGGGUCUGCAGUCGAUACGAGCAAACUAGAGUGUUGCAGGGGAGACUGGAAUUCCUGGUGUAGCGGUGAAAUGCGCAGAUAUCAAGGAGGAACACCGGUGGCGAAGGCGGGGUCUCUGGGGCAGUAACUGACGCUGAGGAACGAAAGCGUGGGUAGCGAACAGG